rnacentral:rRNA from 1 species
GACGAACGCUGGCGGCGUGCCUAAUACAUGCAAGUAGAACGCUGAAGAGAGGAGCUUGCUCUUCUUGGAUGAGUUGCGAACGGGUGAGUAACGCGUAGGUAACCUGCCUUGUAGCGGGGGAUAACUAUUGGAAACGAUAGCUACUACCGCAUAACAAUGGAUGACACAUGUCAUUUAUUUGAAAGGGGCAAUUGCUCCACUACAAGAUGGACCUGCGUUGUAUUAGCUAGUAGGUGAGGUAAUGGCUCACCUAGGCGACGAUACAUAGCCGACCUGAGAGGGUGAUCGGCCACACUGGGACUGAGACACGGCCCAGACUCCUACGGGAGGCAGCAGUAGGGAAUCUUCGGCAAUGGGGGCAACCCUGACCGAGCAACGCCGCGUGAGUGAAGAAGGUUUUCGGAUCGUAAAGCUCUGUUGUAAGUCAAGAACGGGUGUGAGAGUGGAAAGUUCACACUGUGACGGUAGCUUACCAGAAAGGGACGGCUAACUACGUG